UUCCGGUGACUUAGUGGUUAGAGCGUCCGCUUCGGAUGCGGGAAGUCGCGGGUUCAAACCACGGCCUAGUCAU